CCUACGGGGGCAGCAGUGGGGAAUAUUGGACAAUGGGGGGAACCCUGAUCCAGCCAUGCCGCGUGUGUGAAGAAGGCCCUCGGGUUGUAAAGCACUUUCAGUGAGGAAGAACGCCUGGUGGUUAAUACCCAUCAGGAAAGACAUCACUCACAGAAGAAGCACCGGCUAACUCCGUGCCAGCAGCCGCGGUAAUACGGAGGGUGCGAGCGUUAAUCGGAAUUACUGGGCGUAAAGCGCGCGUAGGUGGCUUGAUAAGCCGGUUGUGAAAGCCCCGGGCUCAACCUGGGAACGGCAUCCGGAACUGUCAAGCUAGAGUGCAGGAGAGGAAGGUAGAAUUCCCGGUGUAGCGGUGAAAUGCGUAGAGAUCGGGAGGAAUACCAGUGGCGAAGGCGGCCUUCUGGACUGACACUGACACUGAGGUGCGAAAGCGUGGGUAGCAAACAGGAUUAGAUACCCGGGUAGUC
rnacentral:rRNA from 1 species